GAGUUUGAUCUUGGCUCAGAGUGAACGCUGGCGGCAGGCCUAACACAUGCAAGUCGAACGGCAGCACAGCAGUAGCAAUACUGUGGGUGGCGAGUGGCGGACGGGUGAGGAAUACAUCGGAAUCUGCCCAGUCGUGGGGGAUAACGUAGGGAAACUUACGCUAAUACCGCAUACGACCUUAGGGUGAAAGCGGGGGAUCGCAAGACCUCGCGCGAUUGAAUGAGCCGAUGUCGGAUUAGCUAGUUGGCGGGGUAAAGGCCCACCAAGGCGACGAUCCGUAGCUGGUCUGAGAGGAUGACCAGUCACACUGGGACUGAGACACGGCCCAGACUCCUACGGGAGGCAGCAGUGAGGAAUAUUGCGCAAUGGGCGAAAGCCUGACGCAGCGACGCCGCGUGGAGGAUGAAGGCCUUCGGGUUGUAAAC
rnacentral:rRNA from 1 species